rnacentral:rRNA from 1 species
UACGUAGGCAGCGAGCGUUGUUCGGAAUUACUGGGCGUAAAGAGUGUGUAGGCGGUGCUCUAAGUCUGUCGUGAAAUCUCCCGGCUUAACCGGGAGGCUGCGGCGGAAACGGCGAGACUUGAGUCUUGGAGAGGUGAGUGGAAUUCCCGGUGUAGCGGUGAAAUGCGUAGAGAUCGGGAGGAACACCAGAGGCGAAGGCGGCUCACUGGACAAGCACUGACACUCAACUACGAAAGCGUGGGGAGCAAACAGG